rnacentral:rRNA from 1 species
AACGAACGCUGGCGGCAUGCCUAACACAUGCAAGUCGAACGAGACCUUCGGGUCUAGUGGCGCACGGGUGCGUAACGCGUGGGAACCUGCCCUUAGGUUCGGAAUAACUCCCCGAAAGGGGUGCUAAUACCGGAUAAUGUCUUCGGACCAAAGAUUUAUCGCCUUUGGAUGGGCCCGCGUUGGAUUAGCUAGUUGGUAGGGUAAAAGCCUACCAAGGCGACGAUCCAUAGCUGGUCUGAGAGGAUGAUCAGCCACACUGGGACUGAGACACAGCCCAGACUCCUACGGGAGGCAGCAGUGGGGAAUAUUGGACAAUGGGCGAAAGCCUGAUCCAGCAAUGCCGCGUGAGUGAUGAAGGCCUUAGGGUUGUAAAGCUCUUUUACCCGGGAUGAUAAUGACAGUACCGGGAGAACAAGCGCCGGCUAACUCCGUG